CUGAAUGCCUCCCAGUCUCUGACUGGGACUGUCCCAGUUGGUGCUCAGCUUCUUGCAGAAGUGGACCCCUUAAGAGUUUGCAUACAACUAACUAAACACUAGAGGCAGGGGCUCGCAUAAAGGAAAUGUCCAGAGGCAAGAC